rnacentral:rRNA from 1 species
UGCAUGUCUAAGUAUAAGCAAUUAUACAGCGAAACUGCGAAUGGCUCAUUAUAUAAGUUAUCGUUUAUUUGAUAGUACCUUACUACUUGGAUAACCGUGGUAAUUCUAGAGCUAAUACAUGCUAAAAAUCCCGACUUCGGAAGGGAUGUAUUUAUUAGAUACAAAACCAAUGCCCCUCGGGGCUCUCUGGUGAUUCAUGAUAACUCGUCGAAUCGCACGGCCUUGCGCCGGCGAUGGUUCAUUCAAAUUUCUUCCCUAUCAACUUUCGAUGUUUGGGUAGUGGCCAAACAUGGUGGCAACGGGUAACGGAGGGUUAGGGCUCGACCCCGGAGAAGGAGCCUGAGAAACGGCUACUACAUCCAAGGAAGGCAGCAGGCGCGCAAAUUACCCAAUCCCGAUACGGGGAGGUAGUGACAAUAAAUACUGAUACAGGGCUCUUUUGGGUCUUGUAAUUGGAAUGAGUACAAUUUAAAUCCCUUAACGAGGAACAAUUGGAGGGCAAGUCUGGUGCCAGCAGCCGCGGUAAUUCCAGCUCCAAUAGCGUAUAUUAAAGUUGUUGUGGUUAAAAAGCUCGUAGUUGAAUCUUGGGCCUGGCUGGCCGGUCCGCCUCACCGCGUGUACUGGUCCGGCCGGGUCUUUCACUCUGCGGAACCACAUGCCCUUCAGUGGGUGUGGCGGGGAAGCAGGACUUUUACUUUGAAAAAAUUAGAGUGCUCUAAGCAGGCCAAUGCUCGAAUACAUUAGCAUGGAAUAAUAAAAUAGGACGCGCGGUUCUAUUUUGUUGGUUUCUAGGACCGCCGUAAUGAUGAAUAGGGACAGUCGGGGGCAUCAGUAUUCAGUUGUCAGAGGUGAAAUUCUUGGAUCUACUGAAGACUAACUACUGCGAAAGCAUUUGCCAAGGAUGUUUUCAUUAAUCAGGAACGAAAGUUAGGGGAUCGAAGACGAUCAAAUACCGUCGUAGUCUUAACCAUAAACUAUGCCGACUAGGGAUCGGACGAUGUUAUUUAGUUGACUCGUUCGGCACCUUACGAAAAAUCAAAGUGCUUGGGCUCCAGGGGGAGUAUGGUCGCAAGGCUGAAACUUAAAGGAAAUUGACGGAAG